rnacentral:lncRNA from 1 species
AUAACAACAGCCACAUAACAGCUUUUCAACAGAACAACUCAUAAUCAACUUUGGCUCUUCAGCCUACAACUCAGUAAUGCUCAACAAAUCAACUUAGAAUCAACGUUGGCUCAUCGGCCUACAACUUAAUAAUUUCAACAAGGCAACUAAAAAAAUCAACUUUUCAACAUUAUUGCAUCAACAUUUCACAACCAUAAACCUAAUAAAUUCAUUCCUCACAAUUAACUAUGAUAGGCCAGCUACCACUUGCACUCACAACAUAAAAUCAACUAUUUUCCAUUCUGCAAAG